rnacentral:lncRNA from 1 species
UAAUGACCUCUAUGCUGAACUAUUUAAACAUUUGGAAGGACGAGCGGGACCCGUCAUGCGUGUGAGCAUGUAUCCAGGAACACCUGCAGCAGAGUUCACACUUCGCUGCUGGGUUAAGGAGGAGCGUUGUGCUGUUUACACUAUGACACUCGUAGACAAGGCUGUUUGUGUAAUGGAUAUAUGGGAUGAAAAAAUAGGGGAAGAGUUUCCCAAAUGUUAUGCAGAAUAUUACAAACAUUGAAAGGAACAUUAUCCUGUCUAUGACUCUGACUGCAAGAAGUGACUUCAUACGUGGAAAGUA